UGAGUGCGAGCUGCUACGGCAGCGAAGUUGGUGACGUCAAGCUUCCAAGAAAAGCCCUAUACCCGUUAAGGCAUCAUGGCCUGUACCCGAAACCGACACAGGUGGGGUGGUAGAGAAUACCGAGGGGCGCGAGGUAACUCUCUCUAAGGAACUCGGCAAAAUGGCCCCGUAACUUCGGGAGAAGGGGUGCCACCGCAAGGUGGUCGCAGUGAAGAGGCCCAGGCGACUGUUUACCAAAAACACAGGUCUCCGCUAAGUCGCAAGACGAUGUAUGGGGGCUGACGCCUGCCCAGUGCCGGAAGGUUAAGGAAGCUGGUCAGCGCAAGCGAAGCUGGCGACUGAAGCCCCGGUGAACGGCGGCCGUAACUAUAACGGUCCUAAGGUAGCGAAAUUCCUUGUCGGGUAAGUUCCGACCCGCACGAAAGGCGUAACGAUCUGGGCGCUGUCUCGGAGAGAGGCUCGGCGAAAUAGAAUUGUCUGUGAAGAUGCGGACUACGUGCACCCGGACAGAAAGACCCUAUGAAGCUUUACUGUAGCUUGGUAUUGUGCCCGGGCUCUGAAUGCGCAGGAUAGGUGGGAGGCUUUGAUCAUCGGCUUGCGGGUCGAUGUGAGCCAACGGUGAGAUACCACUCUUUCAGAGCUAGGGUUCUAACAGUCACCCGUUAUCCGGGGACUGGACAGUAUCAGGUGGGCAGUUUGACUGGGGCGGUCGCCUCCUAAAAGGUAACGGAGGCGCGCAAAGGUCUGCUCAGGCUGGUUGGAAAUCAGCCGACGAGUGUAAAAGCAGAAGCAGGCUUGACUGUGAGACCUACAAGUCGAACAGGGAGGAAACUCGGCUUUAGUGAUCCGACGGUUCUGCGUGGAAGGGCCGUCGCUCUACGGAUAAAAGUUACUCUAGGAUAACAGGCUGAUCUCCCCCAAGAGUUCACAUCGACGGGGAGGUUUGGCACCUCGAUGUCGGCUCAUCGCAACCUGGGGCUGAAGUCGGUCCCAAGGGUUGGGCUGUUCGCCCAUUAAAGCGGUACGCGAGCUGGGUUCAGAACGUCGUGAGACAGUUCGGUCCAUAUCCGGUGCAUGCGCAGGAAUAUUGAGAGGAGUUCUCCCUAGUACGAGAGGACCGGGAGGAACGCACCUCUGGUGUACCAGUUAUCGUGCCAACGGUAAACGCUGGGUAGCCAUGUGCGGAGAGGAUACCGCUGAAAGCAUCUAAGUGGGAAGCCCACCUCAAGAUGAGUAUUCCCAUGGCGUUAGCCAGUAAGGUCACGGGAAGAACACCCGUUGAUAGGCUCUAUGUGGAAGCGCAGUAAUGCGUGAAGCAGAGGAGUACUAAUAGACCGAGGGCUUGAU
rnacentral:rRNA from 1 species